UCGAGAGGCUUCCACAAUGGGGGAAACCCUGAUGGAGCGACGCCGCGUGGAUGAUGAAGGCCUUCGGGUUGUAAAGUCCUUUCAGCAGGGACGAUGGAAUAGCGGGUUAAUACCCCGCGAUUUCGGACGGUACCUGCAGAAGAAGCUCCGGCUAACUCCGUGCCAGCAGCCGCGGUAAGACGGGGGGAGCGAGCGUUGUUCGGAAUUACUGGGCGUAAAGGGCGUCUAGGCGGGCUUGUAAGUCAGGUGUGAAAUACCUCGGCUCAACCGGGGAACUGCACUUGAAACUGCAGGUCUUGAGUUCGGAAGGGGAAAGCGGAAUUCCUGGUGUAGCGGUGAAAUGCGUAGAUAUCAGGAAGAACACCGGUGGCGAAGGCGGCUUUCUGGUCCGAUACUGACGCUGAAGCGCGAAAGUGUGGGGAGCAAACA
rnacentral:rRNA from 1 species